rnacentral:rRNA from 1 species
AUGGGAUGUAAUAGUCGAGAAAAUAAGGCUGCGCCGGAGCAAAAACUAACUACUUUAUCCGGUAAAAAGAAGUGCUUUGCUUGUAAAGAGACAUCACACAAUUUGGAUCAAUGCAGGAUAAAAGACAAACUGGGUACUGCGGCUCAGCUAUUUGGACAUUCUACAAGGUUUCCAUUCUACAUGAUUCAGCCUUCAAAGGAAGUUGUCGAAAAUGAAAAGUUCUACCAUCACUGCCUGCUGAUCACAUCUAAUGCCUGUAACUUGGACCCGGCAGCAGUGAAAAUUGAACUAAAUAAGUUCUGGAAGCUGACUGAUGGCUGGUAUAUAAAGAGAGAAGGUAGACAGAAUUUCGUGGCAUCCUUCAACUCAGAGGAUGACCUACUAAGCUGUUUAAAUCCUCCCAAUGUAGAAACAUUUCUAGAUGAAAAGGAGGUGAAUUUUACUGUAGCAAGGUGGGUUGAAGGUGAUGGGGAGAAACUUGACUUGAUCAGAGAGUGGCUUUUGGUCUAUGGGGUCCCAGGUGCAUAUAGAAACUGGAAGGAGCUAUAUCAAGUUGCAUCUGCAGUUGGAGUUUUGCUUGAGGUGGAUGAGGAAAGUUUGGAAAGCGGAGAUAAGGAGCCUAUUAGGUUGAGGAUAGCGUUGGGAAGUCUUGUUGGUGCUCCUUUCUCUUACCACUUUGUGUUUGGAUGGUCAUCUAGACCAGUCAAGUUCAUGAUUGAAGACAAAGCAAGAAGGAUAGAAGGGCAAUGGAAAGAAGUAGAAGAACGGAAGGUCAGCGUCAUGAAGGAAUAUGCAGAUAUAAGAGAAGGUAUUGAGGUACCUCCAGAAACAUUGAAUAAAGGAAUGGAUUUAGAGGGCACUGGAAUAGUUUUCGCAGGCAAUUAUUCUUUGGAUUUUGGAAGUUGCUCAUGCAAGGAAUGUAAAGAAGAACUGAAAACCACAGAACGAAAUGGUAACAUCAUGAAGGAAUAUGCAGAUAUAAGAGAAGAAGGUAUUGAGGUACCUGCAGAAACACUGAAUGAAGGAAUGUAUUUAGAGGGCACUGGAGUAGAUUUCACAGGCAGUUAUUCUUUGGAUUUCAGAAGUUGCUCAGGCAAGGAAUGUAAAGAAGAACUGAAAACCACAGAAGGGAAUGGUAGCGUCAUGAUGGAAUAUGCAGAUAUAAGAGAAGAAGGUAUUGAGGUACCUGCAGAAACACUGAAUGAAGGAAUGGAUUUAAAGGGCACUGGAGUAGUUUUCGCAGGCAAUUAUUCUUUGGAUUUCGGAAGUUGCCCAGGCAAGGAAUGUAAAGAAGAACUGAAAACCACAGAACGGAAUGGUAGUGUCAUGAAGGAAUAUGCAGAUAUAAGAGAAGAAGGUAUUGAGGUACCUCUAGAAACACUCAAUAAAGGAAUGGAUUUAGAGGGCACUGGAGUAGAUUCCGCAGGCAAUUAUUCUUUGGAUUUUGGAAGUUGCUUAGGCAAGGAAUGUAAAGAAGAACCGAAGACUACAGAAACAGUUACAUUGCUGGAAGUGGCAAAGUUCAUUCCAGAGUUAAGAGCUGAUGAAGAGAUCGAGGAAAACAGCGGAAGUGCUAUGGCAGCCACCACAACAAACUCAAAGAAAGCAGCAGAAGGGGGGCAAUCCCCAAGUGAAAGCUCGGCAAGAGGUGAUCAUAUGUCGGGUUUGGAAGAUUGUUCUGACAAGAAACAUCAAAAGAAACUGAUGACCUGCGACAUGGCUACAUUUCUGCAAGUCUCGAAGUUCACUGAAGAGUUUAAAACUGAUGGAGAGAUCAAAGAAAACAAUGCAAGUGCUAUAGUGGGCACCAGAACGAACUCCGAGGGAGCUACAGUAGACAUUCCAAAAGCUACAGAAGACAUGGCUACAUUGCUGCAAGCAUCGAAGUUCACCGAAGAGUUAAGAACUGAUAGAGAGAUCAAAGAAAACAAUGCAAGUGCUAUACUGGGCACCAGAACGAACUACGAGAGAGCUACAGAAGACAUUCCAAAAGCUACAGAAGACAUGGCUACAUUGCUGCAAGUGUCGAAGUUCACUGAAGAGUUAAGAACUAAUGGAGAGAUCAAAGAAAACAAUGCAAGUGCUAUAGUGGAUACCAGAACGAACUCGGAGAGAGCUACAGAAGACGUUCCAAAAACUGAAGGUGGGCAAUCCAUAAGUGGAAGUUCAACUUCAACAAGCUUGAUUGAAGAGGUCUUCAGAGGUCACAAGCCAUCUAUAAAAAAUGUGUACAGAAGAAGAGAUCGGAAGCAAAAAAAAUCGACAGAAGGUUCCACUUUGUGUGCUAACAUCAGUUCUGACAGUGCCCAUGAAGGUUUACAGAAGCCACCUAUAAAAAAUAUGUACGAGGGAAGUGAUCCCAAGCAAAAAGGAUCCACAGGGGGGCAAGUUGCUUCAAAGGAACUGAACAAAGGAAUGAACCCAGGGAGCAGCAGUCACGCCACAAGGAUUGCAACCUCAACAUGCAAUAUGAUGGACUCAGAAAGUUUAUUGGAAAAGGAACACGAGAAAGAAAUGAAAAUGGCAGAAACAGCAGCAAAGACUGUGGGAGCUGAAGGAGCACAAUCUAUCAAGGGAAGUUCAGUAUGCAUGCUUAGAGUAACUCAGACAAAAGAAGGAGCUUGGUUUGAUGGAAAGCAGCCUGUUUCUAAGAUGACUACGCGGCUAACUCAAUUUUACGAGGAGUUCAACACAUACAAUGAAAUCUAUGACAGUUUUGUUGAGAUGGGUCUUCAAGAAAAUCUGCUGAAAGGAAUAUAUGCAUAUGGCCUGGAGAAGCCUUCUUUAGUCCAUCAACGAGGAAUUGUCCCAUUGUGCAAGGGUCUGGAUGUUAUCCAGCAGUCACUGUCUGGAACAACUGUGACACUUGCCUGUGGAGUUCUCCAGCGACUCGAUUAUGGAUCCACUGAAUGCCAAGCUUUGGUUCUUGUACCAACGCGUGACUUGGCACAGGAGACCGAGAAAGUUAUUGGAGCACUUGGUCAGUGGCUAGGUGUCAAAGCUCAUGCUUGUCUUGGAGGGACUAGUGUUCGUGAGCACAAGCAAAUUUUGUCCAGCAGCACCCAGGUUAUUGUCGCUACUCCUAGCCGCGCUCUGGACAUGCUGAGAACACGAGUGCUCUGUCCAGAUAACGUCAGAAUGUUUGUCUUGGAUGAAGCAGAUGAAAUACUCGCAGGAGGUUUGAAGAACCAGAUCUAUGAUAUUAUCAAGCUUCUCCCAGCCAAAAUCCAGUUUGCUGUAUUCUCUACCACCAUGUCCAAUGAAGCUCUCGAACUUUGCCGAAAGUGCAUGAAUAAGCCUAUGAAGGUCAUAGUGCCGAAAGAUGAAGAAUUGGAGGGUUUUAGUGUUAAGCAGUUCCAUGUUAAAGCUGAGGACGAAGAGUUGAAGUUUGAGAAAUUAUGUGAUCUUUUUGACACCAUGGCGGUCACGCAAAACGUCAUCUUUGUCAACGCACGUCGGAAGGUUGAGUCACUGGCCGAAAAGAUCAGUGGCAGGGGGUACACCGUCUCGGCAAGCCAUGGUGGUAUGGACCAGCACGCCAGAGAUGUUGCCGUCCAGGAUCUCCGGUCAGGAUCAUCCCGUGUCCUCGUCACCACCGACCUUCGUGGCGCCGACGCAUUGCAGGUCCCUGUUGUCAUCAACUAUGAUCUGCCAACACAACCAGUACAAUACCUUCGUCAUGUUCGACGAAGUGGACAGCCUGGAGGGAUUGGUGUCGCAAUCAGCUUCGUUGCUCGUGCUGAUGAGCGUGUCCUGUCUGACAUCCAAAGGUUCUGCAAUACUCAGUUGGCAGAGUUACCCUCUGACGUCGCUGACCUCCUGUGA